AGCGAACGCUGGCGGCAGGCCUAACACAUGCAAGUCGAACGGACCCUUCGGGGUUAGUGGCGGACGGGUGAGUAACACGUGGGAACGUGCCUUUAGGUUCGGAAUAGCUCCUGGAAACGGGUGGUAAUGCCGAAUGUGCCCUUCGGGGGAAAGAUUUAUCGCCUUUAGAGCGGCCCGCGUCUGAUUAGCUAGUUGGUGAGGUAACGGCUCACCAAGGCGACGAUCAGUAGCUGGUCUGAGAGGAUGACCAGCCACACUGGGACUGAGACACGGCCCAGACUCCUACGGGAGGGAGGAAGUGGGUAUCUUGCGCAAUGGGCGAAAGCCUGACGCAGCCAUGCCGCGUGAAUGAUGAAGGUCUUAGGAUUGUAAAAUUCUUUCACCGGGGACGAUAAUGACGGUACCCGGAGAAGAAGCCCCGGCUAACUUCGUG
rnacentral:rRNA from 1 species